rfam:Canis lupus familiaris chromosome 11, whole genome shotgun sequence.
GCCCACUUCAGCAGGAUAUAUGCUAAAAUUGGAAUGAUACAGAGAUUAGCAUGGUUCCUACAAACAGAUAACACACAAAUUCAUUAAGUGUUCCAUUAAAAA